GUCUUAACUUCUUGGAUUAACAGUCGCAGUUCUUCUCGAAAUCAUCAAAUCGUCUUUUUGAUCAUGAAGCUGAUAAUAACCAUAAUGACCAUCGUGGCUUUGGUGUGGCUGCAAGCAGGAAUAGUUGAUGGGUGCGUUGGAGAAGGACAGGGUUGUGGACUUGUGUUUUGUUGCCCGAAGUUAAAAUGUGUUUCUCCUCCAGGUGCAACCCCGGUCAAGACUUGCA